rnacentral:rRNA from 1 species
GACGAACGCUGGCGGCGUGCCUAAUACAUGCAAGUCGAGCGGACUUUCCGGAGUGCUUGCACUCCGGCAGGUUAGCGGCGGGCGGGUGAGUAACACGUAGCCAACCUUCCCAUAAGACCGGGAUAACAUUCGCAAACGAAUACUCAUACCGGAAAGACGGACCUCUCGCAUGAGGGGAUCGGGAUAGGCCGAGCAAUCUGGCGGUCGGGGCUGGGCCUGCGGCUGAUCAGAUGGUUGGUGGGGUAAUGGAUUACCAAGGCGUUGGCGGGGAGCCGGCCUGGGGGGGUGACCGGCAACAUUGGGACUGAGAUACGGCACAGAAUCCGACGGGAGGCAGCAGGGGGGAAUAGUGCACAAUGGGCGGAAGCCUGAGGCAGCAACGCAGCGUGCGGGAUGACGGCCUUCGGGUUGUAAAACGCUUUCGCCGGUGACGAAGCGUGAGUGACGGUAAUGGGUAAAGAAGAACCGGCUAACUACGUG